GGCUGGGAACACGCCCCUCGCCGCCACCGUUCCGGGCCAAAUCCGCCCCCGCCCGGCCUCAGCCCCCUCCCGCCGCCCCCGGGCUGUCUGUGCGGCCACAGGGGCUGGGGCAGGGGUGGGAGCCCCGAGAGACCUCGUGGGAAGGGUCUCUGGGAGGAGCAUGGUGACAUGGCCUUGGGGAAGGGGCUGUGGCGAGCACGGCGGCCAGGCUGUGAGGAGGAGGCGGUGGGCGAUGCCGGGGCAGCUGCUCCAGGGCCGAGGGGCACCUCAGAGGGAGAAGAGUGACAGUUGGAAAUGCUGUUGCUUUAAGCAUUACGACUACAACGUAUAAAGAACUAGGCCGUGGGCAGUCUUCAGUACUGUUCCAUCUAACUUCUAUGAAAUCAAUAGGAUGUUAGGGAACCGGCAAAAGAAGGAGCAGAACCAGAUUUCAAGAGACACAGGAAGAGCUACCGUCUCAAAGAAAACAUGAAGAAAGGUCCAACAGUGAAGUUGGAGGCCCAACUGUCUCACUGCAUCUUUCUAUGUAUGGGUAAAAUCCUGAAUUUAACUAUUUGGUAUUCCAAGCUACCACCUCUUUAGUUCACUGGUGAUAUGGCAGAGAGAACUGAUGUGGGUAAUGUACCAGUGGAAUAAUUAUAGAAAUUAAAAGGGCCACUGGAAAAUCUCAUAGUCAGAGAGCAUGGAACCUGUGAUUUUAUUUUAAACUUAGAGAACUGUUGGGAACAAUUUACUAUUUUCCUGGCUUUUCUGUUUAUUUAGUGGAACUUACUAGUAACACAGAAUUUGAUCAAUCAGAGUGCAGAGUUUGA